AGUUGGGGCUCAGGGGUAUAGCAUUUGCCUGGCAUGUGUGAGGCCCUGAGUUCAAUCCUCAGCACCAAAUA
rnacentral:tRNA from 1 species